GAUUUCUGGUUUGAUAUGCCUGGCCCGCCACGGUUACGUGUGUGAGUGCCGGUGCGUGUCUACCAUCCUUCUGGAAAACGUGUCUACCCUUCACUGGGCCGGAUACGCGACCCAGAUCAUUUACUUUGAAAGAAUUAGAGUGUUUAAAGCAGGCUUUUUGCUAUGAAUACAUUAGCAUGGAAUAAUAAUAUAGGACUUCGGUCUCUAUUUUGUUGGUUUCUAGAGCUGAAGUAAUGAUUGAUAGGGAUAGUUGGGGGUGCUAGUAUUCAUCGGCCAGAGGUGAAAUUCUUGGAUUCGAUGAAGACUAACUUAUGCGAAAGCAUU
rnacentral:rRNA from 1 species